AUACGGAGGGUGCAAGCGUUAAUCGGAAUCACUGGGCGUAAAGCGCGCGCAGGCGGCUAUUUAAGUUGGAUGUGAAAGCCUACGGCUCAACCGUAGAACUGCAUCCAAAACUAUUUAGCUAGAGUGUGGGAGAGGAAGAUGGAAUUAGUUGUGUAGGGGUAAAAUCCGUAGAGAUAACUAGGAAUACCAAAAGCGAAGGCAAUCUUCUGGAACACUACUGACGCUGAGGCGCGAAAGCGUGGGGAGCAAACAGGAUUAGAAACCCUAGUAGUCC
rnacentral:rRNA from 1 species